UUUCUCUCUCCCUUCUCUCUCUAAAAUCGAUAAAUAUACCCUUGGGUGAGGAUUAAAAUUUUUUUAAAAGAUUCAAAAAAUAAAGUAUGUUUCCCUUGUUCUGUUUCAUGUUCCUUUAUUAUCAUGUAAUAUAGUUUGUAAUUAUGCUUAUAUCUGUGAGUUGUUUAAUGUCUAUCUUCCCACUGAAGAGAUUUAUGUAAGAUACUGGGAGGGGAAAAAAAAACUAGGGAGAGCUAUGUAGACCCCAUGCCUACCAGAACACUUGGGACUUAGUUAUGCUUAAAAAACAUUUGUUGAAUGUGUGGGUAGAUGAUAGAUAGCUUAUCUGUAUAGGCAAGCAGGAGGUAGCAAAGGCAGAGAAGUUACAGGGUCCUGGAAUCUUCCUACGUUCUCAGAGUCCAUGGUUUGUGUUCUAGCCUUUCUGAAAUAGUAAUGGGCUUUGCCCUUCCGCCUCUUGCAUUCAUUUCCCUGAGGACAGGAUUUAACAAUUAUAUUACCCCACACUCAAGCUAAUGCUGAUGUAACUAUAGUUGAUUUGGAGCCCUUGGUGGUGGCAGCUAGAUUUGUUUACCUGUUAAAUUGAUUCAUAGGUGGUACUGUAGGCAUGCAGCCAAACAGGUAUUUGCUAGGCUGUGUCAACCCAGUCCUUUUUAGCCUCUUGAGUGACGCAAGCCUUUGUACCAUAUGCUAAUUAAAGUGUUUAUUACUUGUAGGACCAGUUGUGUUUGAAAUGAAGUAUCUAUUUGCCUUUUAAUGAUUGAAGAUUUCAUUUUAACAGACUUAAUGUGAAUAGAAGAUAAAAUAAAUUGUUAAAGGUAUUAUCUAGGAACAGAUUAGCAAUAAUGAGAAAAUUAAACUUUUCUCCCAUUGAUCCUGCUCAGGUGUCAAAAGUGUAAGAAUUUCAGGAUGAUUUUUCAGGUUUCACUGUGUUAGGUUGACUUACUUCAUCCAUUCAGUAGACACGUUGAGCUCCUAGUUUGUGCAAGACAAAAUUAGGUGCUAGGGUUACAGAGAAAAACUCAGUUUCUCCUCUCAAGUACUAUGGAAGAAAAACACAUUAUAAGGAUACACAGCAGUGGAAUAUUAAUUAUGAAAAGUCUUCCCUUACAUCAGUGAAGGCUUCUCAUAAUUCUCAUAAUUCCUAAGUUGAUUUUGUUUUGAGUUGAGUUUUGAGUUGGACAGAAGACUUUUCAGGUAGGUACAGAGACAUGAGACCACACGUAGAUUAAGGGAAGUAAUAUAAGACAAGGCAAUGGCCAAAUCAAAAGAUUUAUGUACCUAGUAGUGGUUUGAAUUAUACUUUCAAGAUUAGGGGUAGCCGUUGAAGAGUUUGAAGCAGGGAUAUCUGAUAACAUUGAGGAGACUGAAUUGGAGUGGAGGUAAUAGGGUAAUAUUUGUGGUGGAGAAAUCAAAUGGGAGCCAGUUUCAGAAAUCUAAGAAAUGAUAGAGGCCUAAAUUUAGCUGAUCACAAUGAGACUGGGGAGAUGGGUACAUAAUUAUUUCAGAAGUGGAACUUUCCAGACAGUGGAGAUGAAGAAGGAACUUAGUAUGAUUCUCAGGUUUAGGUAUUCUGUUUGGGUGAGUAGCUGGUACCAUUUUUUAAGGUAGGGGAUGGGAAAAGGAACACUUACUGGGGGAAAUGUUGAAGUAAAGUUUAGGUGUAUUGAGUUUGAGUUGCUUGUGGGACAUGUAAUUGGAGGUGCUUAGCAGGGGUAGGAUAUACAGACUAGUCGUCAGGAGAGAGAUUGUGCAGGGACUGGGGACUCAAAAGUCAUUACUGUACAUGCGGUUGUUGCAGCCAUAGGUUUUGAA